rnacentral:rRNA from 1 species
GACGUAGGGCGCGAGCGUUGUCCGGAUUUAUUGGGCGUAAAGAGCUCGUAGGCGGCUUGUCGCGUCGAUCGUGAAAACUUGUGGCUCAACUACAAGCUGGCGGUCGAUACGGGCAGGCUGGAGUUCGGUAGGGGAGACUGGAAUUCCUGGUGUAGCGGUGAAAUGCGCAGAUAUCAGGAGGGAAACACCCGGUGGCGAAAGGCGGCAUCCUGGACCGACAUUUGACGCUGAGGAGCGAAAAGCUAGGGGGGAGCAAAACGGGG